rnacentral:rRNA from 1 species
GAUGAACGCUGGCGGCGUGCCUAAUACAUGCAAGUCGAGCGAACGGACGAGAAGCUUGCUUCUCUGAUGUUAGCGGCGGACGGGUGAGUAACACGUGGAUAACCUACCUAUAAGACUGGGAUAACUUCGGGAAACCGUAGCUAAUACCGGAUGAUAUUUUGAACCGCAUGGUUCAAAAGUGAAAGACGGUCUUGCUGUCACUUAUAGAUGGAUCCGCGCUGCAUUAGCUAGUUGGUAAGGUAGCGGCUUACCAAGGCAACGAUGCAUAGCCGACCUGAGAGGGUGAUCGGCCACACUGGAACUGAGACACGGUCCAGACUCCUACGGGAGGCAGCAGUAGGGAAUCUUCCGCAAUGGGCGAAAGCCUGACGGAGCAACGCCGCGUGAGUGAUGAAGGUCUUCGGAUCGUAAAACUCUGUUAUUAGGGAAGAACAUAUGUGUAAGUAACUGUGCACAUCUUGACGGUACCUAAUCAGAAAGCCACGGCUAACUACGUG